GAUGAACGCCGGCGGCGUGCCUAAUACAUGCAAGUCGAGCGAACAGACGAGGAGCUUGCUCCUCUGACGUUAGCGGCGGACGGGUGAGUAACACGUGGAUAACCUACCUAUAAGACUGGGAUAACUUCGGGAAACCGGAGCUAAUACCGGAUAAUAUAUUGAACCGCAUGGUUCAAUAGUGAAAGACGGUUUUGCUGUCACUUAUAGAUGGAUCCGCGCCGCAUUAGCUAGUUGGUAAGGUAACGGCUUACCAAGGCAACGAUGCGUAGCCGACCUGAGAGGGUGAUCGGCCACACUGGAACUGAGACACGGUCCAGACUCCUACGGGAGGCAGCAGUAGGGAAUCUUCCGCAAUGGGCGAAAGCCUGACGGAGCAACGCCGCGUGAGUGAUGAAGGUCUUCGGAUCGUAAAACUCUGUUAUUAGGGAAGAACAAAUGUGUAAGUAACUAUGCACGUCUUGACGGUACCUAAUCAGAAAGCCACGGCUAGCUACGUG
rnacentral:rRNA from 1 species